rnacentral:lncRNA from 1 species
ACAUUCCCCUUUGGAUAUCAUGGUGGGUAUAAUAAUGGCUUCAAUAUAGCUGAAGCUAUAAAUUUUGCAUCUCCACGUUGGGUGGAGUAUGGGAUAAAAGCUUCACUGUGUCAUUGCCGUAAAGAUUCAGUGAAGAUUUGUAUGGAUACAUUUAUUAAACUAUAUUUUAAUUCCGUAUCAUGAAAUAAACCUUAUAUAAAUAAACACGGAAGACAUGGACUUGUAUAGUAUUAACUGUAUACAUGUUGGAAAUCGAAAUGCAUUGUAUUCAAUACCUCCAGAAUAUGGACACGAAUUUGAAUGAUUGGCUAAUCGCUUUUUUCCAACUAAACCGGCAAACUGCCCUGCUUUUCUCAGGCAUAAAGUGACUAUGAUAUCUCCUAAUAUUUUGGAACAAAAUGCUAUACCCUAUAAUAAAAUCACACAGGAGAAAGGGGAAUUCAUUAUAACAUUCCCCUUUGGAUAUCAUAGUGGCUUUAACUACAGAUUUAACAUGGCUGAAGCUAUACAUUUUGCAUCUCCACGUUGGGUGGAGUAUGGGAUAAAAGCUUCACUGUGUCAUUGCCGUAAAGAUUCAGUGAAGAUUUGUAUGGAUACAUUUAUUAAACUAUAUUUUAAUUCCGUAUCAUGAAAUAAACCUUAUAUAAAUAAACACGGAAGACAUGGACUUGUAUAGUAUUAACUGUAUACAUGUUGGAAAUCGAAAUGCAUUGUAUUCAAUACCUCCAGAAUAUGGACACGAAUUUGAAUGAUUGGCUAAUCGCUUUUUUCCAACUAAACCGGCAAACUGCCCUGCUUUUCUCAGGCAUAAAGUGACUAUGAUAUCUCCUAAUAUUUUGGAACAAAAUGCUAUACCCUAUAAUAAAAUCACACAGGAGAAAGGGGAAUUCAUUAUAACAUUCCCCUUUGGAUAUCAUAGUGGCUUUAACUACAGAUUUAACAUGGCUGAAGCUAUACAUUUUGCAUCUCCACGUUGGGUGGAGUAUGGGAUAAAAGCUUCACUGUGUCAUUGCCGUAAAGAUUCAGUGAAGAUUUGUAUGGAUACAUUUAUUAAACUAUAUUUUAAUUCCGUAUCAUGAAAUAAACCUUAUAUAAAUAAACACGGAAGACAUGGACUUGUAUAGUAUUAACUGUAUACAUGUUGGAAAUCGAAAUGCAUUGUAUUCAAUACCUCCAGAAUAUGGACACGAAUUUGAAUGAUUGGCUAAUCGCUUUUUUCCAACUAAACCGGCAAACUGCCCUGCUUUUCUCAGGCAUAAAGUGACUAUGAUAUCUCCUAAUAUUUUUGAACAAAAUGCUAUACCCUAUAAUAAAAUCACACAGGAGAAAGGGGAAUUCAUUAUAACAUUCCCCUUUGGAUAUCAUAGUGGCUCUAACUACGGAUUUAACAUGGCUGAAGCUAUACAUUUUGCAUCUCCACGUUGGGUGGAGUAUGGGAUAAAAGCUUCACUGUGUCAUUGCCGUAAAGAUUCAGUGAAGAUUUGUAUGGACACAUUUAUUAAACUAUAUUUUAAUUCCGUAUCAUGAAAUAAACAUUAUAUAAAUAAACACGGAAGACAUGGACUUGUAUAGUAUUAACUGUAUACAUGUUGGAAAUCGAAAUGCAUUGUAUUCAAUACCUCCAGAAUAUGGACACGAAUUUGAAUGAUUGGCUAAUCGCUUUUUUCCAACUAAACCGGCAAACUGCCCUGCUUUUCUCAGGCAUAAAGUGACUAUGAUAUCUCCUAAUAUUUUGGAACAAAAUGCUAUACCCUAUAAUAAAAUCACACAGGAGAAAGGGGAAUUCAUUAUAACGUUCCCCUUUGGAUAUCAUAGUGGCUUUAACUACGGAUUUAACAUGGCUGAAACUAUACAUUUUGCAUCAUCUCCACGUUGGGUGGAGUAUGGGAUAAAAGCUUCACUGUGUCAUUGCCGUAAAGAUUCAGUGAAGAUUUGUAUGGACACAUUUAUUAAACUAUAUUUUAAUUCCGUAUCAUGAAAUAAACCUUAUAUAAAUAAACACGGAAGACAUGGACUUGUAUAGUAUUAACUGUAUACAUGUUGGAAAUCGAAAUGCAUUGUAUUCAAUACCUCCAGAAUAUGGACACGAAUUUGAAUGAUUGGCUAAUCGCUUUUUUCCAACUAAACCGGCAAACUGCCCUGCUUUUCUCAGGCAUAAAGUGACUAUGAUAUCUCCUAAUAUUUUGGAACAAAAUGCUAUACCCUAUAAUAAAAUCACACAGGAGAAAGGGGAAUUCAUUAUAACAUUCCCCUUUGGAUAUCAUAGUGGCUUUAACUACGGAUUUAACAUGGCUGAAGCUAUACAUUUUGCAUCUCCACGUUGGGUGGAGUAUGGGAUAAAAGCUUCACUGUGUCAUUGCCGUAAAGAUUCAGUGAAGAUUUGUAUGGAUACAUUUAUUAAACUAUAUUUUAAUUCCGUAUCAUGAAAUAAACCUUAUAUAAAUAAACACGGAAGACAUGGACUUGUAUAGUAUUAACUGUAUACAUGUUGGAAAUCGAAAUGCAUUGUAUUCAAUACCUCCAGAAUAUGGACACGAAUUUGAAUGAUUGGCUAAUCGCUUUUUUCCAACUAAACCGGCAAACUGCCCUGCUUUUCUCAGGCAUAAAGUGACUAUGAUAUCUCCUAAUAUUUUGGAACAAAAUGCUAUACCCUAUAAUAAAAUCACACAGGAGAAAGGGGAAUUCAUUAUAACAUUCCCCUUUGGAUAUCAUGGUGGGUAUAAUAAUGGCUUCAAUAUAGCUGAAGCUAUAAAUUUUGCAUCUCCACGUUGGGUGGAGUAUGGGAUAAAAGCUUCACUGUGUCAUUGCCGUAAAGAUUCAGUGAAGAUUUGUAUGGAUACAUUUAUUAAACUAUAUUUUAAUUCCGUAUCAUGAAAUAAACCUUAUAUAAAUAAACACGGAAGACAUGGACUUGUAUAGUAUUAACUGUAUACAUGUUGGAAAUCGAAAUGCAUUGUAUUCAAUACCUCCAGAAUAUGGACACGAAUUUGAAUGAUUGGCUAAUCGCUUUUUUCCAACUAAACCGGCAAACUGCCCUGCUUUUCUCAGGCAUAAAGUGACUAUGAUAUCUCCUAAUAUUUUGGAACAAAAUGCUAUACCCUAUAAUAAAAUCACACAGGAGAAAGGGGAAUUCAUUAUAACGUUCCCCUUUGGAUAUCAUAGUGGCUUUAACUACGGAUUUAACAUGGCUGAAACUAUACAUUUUGCAUCAUCUCCACGUUGGGUGGAGUAUGGGAUAAAAGCUUCACUGUGUCAUUGCCGUAAAGAUUCAGUGAAGAUUUGUAUGGACACAUUUAUUAAACUAUAUUUUAAUUCCGUAUCAUGAAAUAAACCUUAUAUAAAUAAACACGGAAGACAUGGACUUGUAUAGUAUUAACUGUAUACAUGUUGGAAAUCGAAAUGCAUUGUAUUCAAUACCUCCAGAAUAUGGACACGAAUUUGAAUGAUUGGCUAAUCGCUUUUUUCCAACUAAACCGGCAAACUGCCCUGCUUUUCUCAGGCAUAAAGUGACUAUGAUAUCUCCUAAUAUUUUUGAACAAAAUGCUAUACCCUAUAAUAAAAUCACACAGGAGAAAGGGGAAUUCAUUAUAACGUUCCCCUUUGGAUAUCAUAGUGGCUUUAACUACGGAUUUAACAUGGCUGAAACUAUACAUUUUGCAUCUCCAC